rnacentral:tRNA from 1 species
UCCCUGGAGAACUAGUGGUUAGGCCAUAGCGCGCUCACCACUGCGGUUAGGGGUUCAAUUCCUGGCCAGGGAA